AAAGGAAUAGACGGGGGCCCGCACAAGCAGUGGAGUAUGUGGUUUAAUUCGAAGCAACGCGAAGAACCUUACCAGGUCUUGACAUCUCCUGAAUAGCCCAGAGAUGGGUGAAGCCUUUCGGGGCAGGAAGACAGGUGGUGCAUGGUUGUCGUCAGCUCGUGUCGUGAGAUGUUGGGUUAAGUCCCGCAACGAGCGCAACCCUUAUUGCUAGUUGCUACGCAAGAGCACUCUAGCGAGACUGCCGUUGACAAAACGGAGGAAGGUGGGGAUGACGUCAAAUCAUCAUGCCCCUUAUGACCUGGGCUACACACGUACUACAAUGGCCGUUAACAACGGGAAGCAAAGGCGCGAGCCGGAGCAAAUCCCCAAAAACGGUCUCAGUUCAGAUUGCAGGCUGCAACUCGCCUGCAUGAAGGCGGAAUUGCUAGUAAUCGCGGAUCAGCAUGCCGCGGUGAAUACGUUCCCGGGCCUUGUACACACCGCCCGU
rnacentral:rRNA from 1 species